AUAUCAAUAAGCGGAGGAAAAGAAACCAACAGGGAUUGCCUUAGUAACGGCGAGUGAAGCGGCAAUAGCUCAAAUUUGAAAUCUGGCACCUUUGGGUGUCCGAGUUGUAAUUUGUAGAGGAUGUUUCGGUAUUGCCACUAAUCUAAGUCCCUUGGAACAGGGUGUCAUAGAGGGUGAGAGUCCCGUAUGUGAUUAGUUGUCUUUGCCAUGUGAAACUCCUUCGACGAGUCGAGUUGUUUGGGAAUGCAGCUCUAAUUGGGAGGUAAAUUUCUUCUAAAGCUAAAUACUGGCCAGAGACCGAUAGCGCACAAGUAGAGUGAUCGAAAGAUGAAAAGCACUUUGGAAAGAGAGUUAAACAGUACGUGAAAUUGUUGAAAGGGAAGCGCUUGCAAUCAGACCUGCUUGCAGUUAUUCAUCUAAACUUUCGGGUUUAGUGCAUUUUUCUGUAAGUCAGGCCAGUAUCAGUUCAGGCGGUUGGAUAAAGAAUUCAGGAAUGUAGCUCCUUUCGGGGAGUGUUAUAGCCUGUUUUGUAAUGCAACCAGCCUGGAUUGAGGACCGCGCUUCGGCUAGGAUACUGGCGUAAUGGUUGUAAGCGG
rnacentral:rRNA from 1 species